rfam:Lactobacillus hayakitensis DSM 18933 = JCM 14209 strain DSM 18933 NODE_338, whole genome shotgun sequence.
CAAGUUAUAACAAUUCUGCCUAAGACUCAGGUGACGUAAGUCUUAAAUAUGCCUGCCGAGGAGUAAUCGAAUCUCUCUCUGUGUCUUGGUGUGGACAUAGAGCUUUUUUAUUAAAAAA